AGUGGAGAGAGUUUUAUCUCAUCGUGGUAUUCAAAAUUUGAUGAGAUUCAACUCCUCCAACUGC
rnacentral:pre_miRNA from 1 species